AAACAACUGUAACAACUAUGAAAAUGUAAACAACAAAGAUCGGGCCCCGGUUCCGGACCCAGCGUACCCGCCCAACCACGAGACGAUCACCUACUCGUCUCCCACAUUUUGUCCAUUAGAUGGCCAUCAGCCUGUGCCGGCUGUUAUGCCAACUCUCCCCAACGAAGAAAAUUUAACCGGACAUUUCCCUCAUCAGAUACGCUAUUUAGAAUCUCAUGCAAGUGGAUAUUUGGUUAACUUCACAGAUGAAUUAGUAUUCAUGCACGUGAACAUUUCUACAUUUUCUCUUAUCUUCUAGAAUUCCUUUUAUUUUAUUUUAACAGCACUAAAUGGAACAGAACACGAAAUUCUACAAAGAUAUUGCUAGUCGCCGCAAAAAAAACACGCACGGAGGCAAUUUCGAGGCAAUCGUUGCGCCAAUUUAGGAACAAUGUGCCCACACAACUACGUAAAACUGGGUAUGUCACGAUAAUCAGUCGUGCAACAGGUGAUAUAAAUUGUAUUAAAUCGCUUAAUUCUACCUUACCCCGCCUAAAGAGCUCUCUGGGGUGGUAAGGGGUGAUAGAAAUGGGUAAUUCCAAUUAGGUAAGUAUGUGAGUAUAGUUCGCGCAAGUGUUAAUUUUAAAUUUUUAUCUUUUACAGGCGCUGAUGCAUCACCUUUGGAGU